CGUUAAGUGGGAUUAACAGCCAUACGUUUAAAUAACAUAGUCUGCUGUAUAUAACUCUGAGGAAUUCAACGCAGUGUCUUAACUUUCCUUCUUUUUAUGUUGUGUUAUCAGUUGUAACAGAAACUAUAACCACCACCACCAGACUGACUUCUCUACCACCAAAGGGAACCAGCGGAUCAAAUCACAGGAAUAUGUCCAGCGGUGCUGGAGGGCUGGGCUUGGAGAAGAAUGUCUUAACCCAGAACAGCAGUGGAACGUAUUUCUCCUCAUCCUCUGUAGGUGUGAACACCGGCAGCUUAAGCUCCUCCUCAGGAGUUUACCUGGGAGGAGACUCUUCAGGAGGAGGUGAUGGAGGAGGGGGCUACUUAGACGGAGGAGGGUAUGGAAGCGGAAGUGGAGGAGGCGGCGGCGGUGGCAGCAGUUACAUGGUGAGCUCGGUGUCAAAGGUCAGGUCCAGCUCGUCAGGCGGUGCCAGGAGAUCGCAGGCCAAUGGCUCGUCAGGAGGCCUGUCGCCAGGUUUCCGGGAGAGGAAGACCUUAACCAGCCGCUCAGGAGGCUAUGAUGGUGAGAUCCUGUUAAUAAAGUCAAGUUGGCAUCAGACGGGCCAGAAACAGAAGCUUGAAGAGAGAAGGAAGCCGCCGUGCAUGAGGGUGCUGUUAACAUUUCUGCUGCUAUUGUGUUCUCUUGUAGGCAGUUCCAGCGGCAAUUCCUCUCCAGAGUUUACGCGCAAAGAUUAUGGGAUCUAUUGUGAGUGA
rnacentral:lncRNA from 1 species